UACGUAGGGGGCAAGCGUUGUCCGGAAUCAUUGGGCGUAAAGCGCGUGUAGGCGGCUCGGUAAGUCUGCUGUGAAAGUCCAGGGCUCAACCCUGGGAUGCCGGUGGAUACUGUCGAGCUCGAGUCCGGAAGAGGCGAGUGGAAUUCCUGGUGUAGCGGUGAAAUGCGCAGAUAUCAGGAGGAACACCGAUGGCGAAGGCAGCUCGCUGGGACGUGACUGACGCUGAGACGCGAGAGCGUGGGGAGCAAACAGG
rnacentral:rRNA from 1 species